rnacentral:rRNA from 1 species
UGGGCCCUACGGGAGGCAGCAGUGGGGAAUAUUGCACAAUGGGGGAAACCCUGAUGCAGCGACGCCGCGUGAGUGAAGAAGUAAUUCGUUAUGUAAAGCUCUAUCAGCAGGGAAGAAAAUGACGGUACCUGAGUAAGAAGCCCCGGCUAACUACGUGCCAGCAGCCGCGGUAAUACGUAGGGGGCAAGCGUUAUCCGGAUUUACUGGGUGUAAAGGGAGCGUAGACGGCAGGGCAAGCCUGGAGUGAAAGGCGGGGGCUCAACCACCGGACUGAUGUGGAAACUGUAAGGCU